rnacentral:rRNA from 1 species
AUUGAACGCUGGCGGCAGGCCUAACACAUGCAAGUCGAACGAGUGGCGGACGGGUGAGUAAUGUCUGGGACACUGCCUGAUGGAGGGGGAUCACUACUGGAAACGGUAGCCAAUACCGCAUACCAUCAGAUGUGCCCAGAUGGGAUUAGCUAGUUGGUGGGGUAACGGCUCACCACGGCGACGAUCCCUAGCUGGUCUGAGAGGAUGACCAGCCACACUGGAACUGAGACACGGUCCAGAAUCCUACGGGAGGGAGCAGUGGGGAAGAUGGCACAAUGGGCGAAAGCCUGAUGCAGCCAUGCCGCGGGUAUGAAGAAGGCCUUCGGGUUGUAAAGUACUUUCAGCGGGGAGGCGUUACCCGCAGAAGAAGCACCGGCUAACUCCGUGCCAGCCGCCGCGGUAAUUC